rnacentral:misc_RNA from 1 species
GCCUCGCUUCCGAUCAAAUUUUAUGGGGCGAAAACGAAAAUUAGUGCCAAAACCUUCAUAAUCUUUCCUGUUGCUAAAACAAAGACGAAUAUUGAUCGAUAGUGAUGGUGGGAAGCAACAAGCAGACAAGGAAUCUGUGUUGUGAAGGAGAACUGGAAGCUACGGUCCCAACCCUCCCUCAAGAAAUCAUUCUAGAGGUUCUCCUUAGAUUACCCGUCAAAUCUCUGUGCAGAUUCAGGUGUGUAUCCAAAUCAUGGCGCUCUAUAAUAUCUAGUCCGCAAUUUGCUAAAACCCACCUCGAUGUGGCUUUCCAAAACAAAACCCUUUUUUCUCGGAGACGGAGGAUCAUUUUCUCUGCUCUCAAUCUCUAUUCUGUCGAGUAUGAAUCUAUGUGUAGCGUUGAUGAUGGCGAUGUUGUAGCUGUUGAGCUUGAUUAUCCUUUGAAAGACAACCCUAAUGCUUUGGGUGAUGUGUUGGGUUCUAAAAAAAAUGACUUGGUGUAUUUUAAAUUGUCUGAAGAUGAAGAUGAGAACCCAGUGAUGGUUAAGGUUGAUGUGCAAUCCUCUGUUAAUCCGAGAAAUUGGGUUGAAAUUUGGGGUUCUUGUAAUGGAUUGGUGUGUAUAGCCCCAGAUGAAGACACCCUUUUCUUAUUUAAUCCAUCUACCGGGGAAUCCAAGAGAAUCCCUGAAGAAUCCUUUUCUGGGCCUGCGACAUGCGGUGUUACUGCAUAUGGGUUUGGUUAUGAUUCAACUAGGGAUGAUUAUAAGGUGGUGAGAAUUGAUACUGAUUCUUCGUUCAGUGUUUAUUCAUUGCGAACUGAUUCUUGGAGAAGAAUUGGGACCUUCCCUUACGAUUGCUCUGUGUAUAAUUCCGGGAUGUUUCUUCAUGGAGCUCUUCACUGGGUGGCUACCAGUAGGGAAGAUGAAGAUGGCAAGUACGUAGUUUCAGUGUUUGAUUUGAGAGAGGAGUUGUUCUGGGGCAUGCCAGCACCAGAUGUUGAUGAUAGUUUUGAAUUUGCGGUAGGAACCCUGAAUGGAUGUCUUUGUGUACUUUAUAGCCGUGAUGAUUUGCAUGAUGAUUUUUGGGUGAUGCGUGAAUAUGGGGUUGGUGACUCAUGGGCUAGGUUUAGUAUCAGCCUGCCAUACAUUUGCAUGAAGCCACUGUGCUUGGCAAAGAAUGGAGAAGCUUUACUGGAGGUAGAUGGAAGAUUAGUCCAGUACAAUUUGGAAGAGGACACAUAUAAGGUGCUAGGGAUUAAAGGAAUUCCAGUUGGAGUUGGAUUUGAAGCAGAUACCUACAUAGAGAGCCUUAUUUCACCUAACGGUUUCUUUGGGAGGGAAUUUCAGAUGUAUAAUUAGCUAUGUGCUUGUCAUGUAUCAGUAGAAGAAUGCUAGGAAGAGGUGAGAGGAAUAAUAUACCUGCAUGUUAUUCGGCUACUGUUUAUACUUCAAUUUCAUGUAAUAUUGGAUCAGCUAAAUACCUUCUUGUACCAUCAUUUCUUUGUGUGGAUAUCUGAUUUCUAGGACAUACAAUUACCAAUAGAAUUCCAGACCCUUUUUCAGGAUCCUAUCUUGCAUCAUAUUGGUCUGCACCACGUCAACUUAAUGUUUUUGGGUUUUGCACUUUUGCUAAGGGUAACAUUUUUUAUGAUCAUAAGGUGGUGAGAGUUGCUUCUGGUGUUUUUGUUGUUGUUUAUUCAUUG